rnacentral:lncRNA from 1 species
AAGUGACCCGCACUACAGCACAUAGCUGAUGCUCCAGAUCAGGGCCAAGACUUAGGACUCAGCUGCCUCUUGGGCAGCUGGGCUCUUUACACUAGAGGCAGAGAUUUGGAAAGGUGUUUUGCUGCUAGGUGUACGACAUGUGAACGAAACAAACUGAAUUACAGGGGCAGCGUGAAGGUUUUCCCUCCAGAUGAAAUCAAGCAGGUUUCCAAUAAGGAUGGAUAUGAAGACUUCUCUGAAGCAAGCAGUGAAGGAGACCUCCUAGGGGAUGAUGAUGCAGUGUGCGUCCUGUAUGUUGGCCCACCCCCUGCAUGCCAUCUUGAUGUGCUGCAUGGUCUAAUUUGUGGGAUGGGAGGUUAAGUACAGUGGUGUGCUGAGCUCCACUGGGAAGAUUUUCAAAGAGAAAGGGCCACUGGGAUUCUUUGUUGGCUUGAUCCCUCAUGUCCCGGGUGAAGUAGUUUUCUUGUGAGGCUAUAACCUGCUGGCCCACUUUAUCAAUGCCCACCUGGCGGAUGACAGAGUGAGUGACACCUAGAGGGGCUGAGAAAUGACCAGA